rnacentral:rRNA from 1 species
CCUACGGGUGGCAGCAGUGAGGAAUAUUGGUCAAUGGGCUUACGCCUGAACCAGCCAAGUCGCGUGAGGGAAGACUGCCCUAUGGGUUGUAAACUUCUUUUGUGCGGGAGCAAUAAUGGUCACGUUUGGCCAGACGAGAGUACCGUACGAAUAAGCAUCGGCUAACUCCGUGCCAGCAGCCGCGGUAAUACGGAGGAUCCGAGCGUUAUCCGGAUUUAUUGGGUUUAAAGGGAGCGUAGGUGGAUGGUUAAGUCAGUUGUGAAAGUUUGCGGCUCAACCGUAAAAUUGCAGUUGAAACUGGCAGUCUUGAGUACAGUAGAGGUGGGCGGAAUUCGUGGUGUAGCGGUGAAAUGCUUAGAUAUCACGAAGAACUCCGAUUGCGAAGGCAGCUCACUGGACUGCAACUGACACUGAGGCUCGAAAGUGUGGGUAUCAAACAGGAUUAGAUACCCUAGUAGUC